rnacentral:rRNA from 1 species
GACGAACGCUGGCGGCGUGCUUAACACAUGCAAGUCGAACGCUGAAGCUUGGUGCUUGCACUGGGUGGAUGAGUGGCGAACGGGUGAGUAAUACGUGAGUAACCUGCCCUUGACUCUGGGAUAAGCCUGGGAAACUGGGUCUAAUACUGGAUACGACAUGUCACCGCAUGGUGGUGUGUGGAAAGGGUUUUACUGGUUUUGGAUGGGCUCACGGCCUAUCAGCUUGUUGGUGGGGUAAUGGCUCACCAAGGCGACGACGGGUAGCCGGCCUGAGAGAGUGACCGGCCACACUGGGACUGAGACACGGCCCAGACUCCUACGGGAGGCAGCAGUGGGGAAUAUUGCACAAUGGGCGGAAGCCUGAUGCAGCGACGCCGCGUGAGGGAUGACGGCCUUCGGGUUGUAAACCUCUUUCAGCACGGAAGAAGCGAAAGUGACGGUACGUGCAGAAGAAGCGCCGGCUAACUACGUG